UUGGUUUCAUGGUUUGGUCUAACUUUACCGCUACUAAAUGCCGCGGAUUGGUUUCGCUGAAUCAGGUUAUUAAAGAGAUUAUUUGUCUCCAGCCACUUAAGUGAGGUGAUUUAUGUUUGGUGCUAUUGCUGGCGGUAUUGCUUCUGCUCUUGCUGGUGGCGCCAUGUCUAAAUUGUUUGGAGGCGGUCAAAAAGCCGCCUCCGGUGGCAUUCAAGGUGAUGUGCUUGCUACCGAUAACAAUACUGUAGGCAUGGGUGAUGCUGGUAUUAAAUCUGCCAUUCAAGGCUCUAAUGUUCCUAACCCUGAUGAGGCCGUCCCUAGUUUUGUUUCUGGUGCUAUGGCUAAAGCUGGUAAAGGACUUCUUGAAGGUA
rnacentral:rRNA from 1 species